rnacentral:lncRNA from 1 species
CUGCCUCUUCUGCAUGGAAAUUCUCUUCAUUCCAAAGAUGGACCACAGGGUACUUCCUUCCCAGAUUCCCUGUGGUUGAUGUGGAUCCUGGGACUGCCUUGUGUAAGACCGAGGGCCUUACCAAACCCUCCGAGGAGCUGACUGCAGUGAAGAACACCUGGGAAGGAACACACCGGACAAGUUGGAGAGUAAAACAGACCUUAGUCUGAGCAUACUACUGACAAAGCUUGGCUUCAUCCACAUUGGCCAAGAAUGUCUGCAGAGCCCAGGUCUGUGUGCACCGAGCAAAACGGU